UACGUAGGUGGCAAGCGUUGUCCGGAUUUACUGGGCGUAAAGAGCGCGCAGGCGGUCGUGCAAGUCGCGUGUGAAAGCCCCCGGCUCAACUGGGGAGGGUCACGCGAUACUGCUCGACUCGAAGGCAGGAGAGGGAAGUGGAAUUCCCGGUGUAGUGGUGAAAUGCGUAGAUAUCGGGAGGAACACCAGUGGCGAAGGCGACUUCCUGGCCUGUUCUUGACGCUAAGGCGCGAAAGCUAGGGUAGCAAACGGG
rnacentral:rRNA from 1 species